rnacentral:rRNA from 1 species
UACGAAGGGGGCUAGCGUUGCUCGGAAUCACUGGGCGUAAAGGGUGCGUAGGCGGGUCUUUCAGUCCGGGGUGAAAUCCUGGAGCUCAACUCCAGAACUGCCUUUGAUACUGAGGAUCUUGAGUUCGGGAGAGGUGAGUGGAACUGCGAGUGUAGAGGUGAAAUUCGUAGAUAUUCGCAAGAACACCAGUGGCGAAGGCGGCUCACUGGCCCGAUACUGACGCUGAGGCACGAAAGCGUGGGGAGCAAACAGG